rnacentral:rRNA from 1 species
UAGGGAAUCUUCGGCAAUGGGGGGAACCCUGACCGAGCAACGCCGCGUGAGUGAAGAAGGUUUUCGGAUCGUAAAGCUCUGUUGUUAAGGAAGAACGAGUGUGAGAAUGGAAAGUUCAUGCUGUGACGGUACUUAACCAGAAAGGGACGGCUAACUACGUGCCAGCAGCCGCGGUAAUACGUAGGUGGCAAGCGUUGUCCGGAUUUAUUGGGCGUAAAGCGAGCGCAGGCGGUCAAUUAAGUCUGAUGUGAAAGCCCCCGGCUCAACCGGGGAGGGUCAUUGGAAACUGGUUGACUUGAGUGCAGAAGAGGAGAGUGGAAUUCCAUGUGUAGCGGUGAAAUGCGUAGGUAUAUGGAGGAACACCAGUGGCGAAGGCGACUCUCUGGUCUGUAACUGACGCUGAGGCUCGAAAGCGUGGGUAGCAAACAGG